UACGUAGGGUGCAAGCGUUAAUCGGAAUUACUGGGCGUAAAGCGUGCGCAGGCGGUUUUGUAAGUUUGUCGUGAAAUCCCCGGGCUCAACCUGGGAAUGGCGAUGAAGACUGCAAGGCUAGAAUCUGGCAGAGGGGGGUAGAAUUCCACGUGUAGCAGUGAAAUGCGUAGAGAUGUGGAGGAACACCGAUGGCGAAGGCAGCCCCUGGGUCAAGAUUGACGCUCAUG
rnacentral:rRNA from 1 species